GGGCCCGUGGUCUAGCGGUUAUGACGUCGCCUUGACAUGGCGAAGAUCCCGAGUUCGAAUCUCGGCGGGCCCA
rnacentral:tRNA from 1 species